UAGGGAAAGUUGCAAAGAACUUUGAAGAGAGAGUUCAAGAGGGCGUGAAACCGUUUGGAAGCAAACAGAUGGAGCUGGUGUGCGUCUGCUGGAUUCAGUUGGUUGCAGCUUUGGCAGCGUUAAGCUUUACGCAUGAUUAGCCUUCGCGCAGCUGAUGCAAUUCUGGUGGAUGAGCGUCUGGGGCAACGGUCCUCCUGUAGGAGACAUGUAAUGGGUGGCCAGCUUGCUGGUGUCUUGUUUAUGUGGACUGCUGGUGAGGGCUGUUGUUUGACUGUGUGCCCGUCUUACUCGGAUUCGGCUGAUACUUGCGCGUCGGAYUUUGUGAUUCUCUGCUUGCAGGUGUCAUGGACGCAGUGCUUGUUUGAGGCUGACCCGAGUGGCACAACCUUGGCGUAAACGUCGGCAACCCAUCUGACCCGUCUUGAAACACGGACCAAGGAGUCUAACAUGUGUGCGAGUUAGUGGGUGGCAAACCCAAAGGCGAAAUGAAAGUGAAGGUCAGCUUGCUGGCUAAUAUGGGAUCCUUGCUUUUUUGCGAGGCGCACCAUUGUCCCGUCUUGUUUGCAUUGCCAAUGAGACGGAGAUUGAGCAUACAUGUUGGGACCCGAAAGAUGGUGAACUAUGCCUGAGUAGGAUGAAGCCAGAGGAAACUCUGGUGGAAGUCCGUAGCGGUUCUGACGUGCAAAUCGAUCGUCAAACUUGGGUAUAGGGGCGAAAGACUAAUCGAACCAUCUAGUAGCUGG
rnacentral:rRNA from 1 species